rnacentral:rRNA from 1 species
UACGAAGGACCCAAGCGUUAUCCGGAUUUAUUGGGUUUAAAGGGUGCGUAGGCGGGUUAUUAAGUCAGUGGUGAAAGCUUACAGCUCAACUGUAAAAUUGCCAUUGAUACUGAUGAUCUUGAGUAUGAUUGAGGUGGGCGGAAUGUGUCAUGUAGCGGUGAAAUGCUUAGAUAUCGUAAGGAAGACCAGUGGCGAAGGCGGGUCUCUGGACAGUUCCUGACGCUGAGGCACGAAGGCCAGGGGAGCAAACGGG